UUUACGGUGAUGAAGCGGAGAAGUAAGCAGCGAUUUCCUGCGCAGAGAGCCUUCGGCCGGUGCAAGAAGGAGAGGAAACGUGUCGAAAUACACCGCGGAGCCGGCGCCCGAACGAAAGUUUUCCGGUAGGCGCGCCCCGGGAGCGCCCGUUAUCGCGCGGGAGUGUGUCGGCACUCCGUGAGGCCGUUUUUGCGAGAAAACGGCGAACCAGAGGUGGUACCGCGAAUUUGUUCGCCCUCUGU
rnacentral:ncRNA from 1 species